rnacentral:rRNA from 1 species
UCCGAGUUGUAAUCUAGAGAAGUGUUAUCCGCGCUGGACCGUGUACAAGUCUCCUGGAAUGGAGCGUCAUAGAGGGUGAGAAUCCCGUCUUUGACACGGACUGCCAGGGCUUUGUGAUGCGCUCUCAAAGAGUCGAGUUGUUUGGGAAUGCAGCUCAAAAUGGGUGGUAAAUUCCAUCUAAAGCUAAAUAUUGGCGAGAGACCGAUAGCGAACAAGUACCGUGAGGGAAAGAUGAAAAGAACUUUGGAAAGAGAGUUAAACAGUACGUGAAAUUGCUGAAAGGGAAACGCUUGAAGUCAGUCGCGUUGGCCGGGGAUCAACCUUGCUUUUGCUGGGCGUACUUUCCGGUUGACGGGUCAGCAUCAAUUUUGACCGUUGGAUAAAGUUCAGGGGAAUGUGGCAUCCUCGGAUGUGUUAUAGCCUUUGUUCGCAUACAACGGUUGGAAUUGAGGAACUCAGCACGCCGCAAGGCCGGGUAUUUAUACUACGUUCGUGCUUAGGAUGCUGGCAUAAUGGCUUUAAUCGACCCGUCUUGAAACACGGACCAAGGAGUCUAACAUGCCUGCGAGUGUUUGGGUGGAAAACCCGAGCGCGUAAUGAAAGUGAAAGUUGAGAUCCCUGUCGUGGGGAGCAUCGACGCCCGGACCAGACCUUUUGUGACGGAUCCGCGGUAGAGCAUGUAUGUUGGGACCCGAAAGAUGGUGAACUAUGCCUGAAUAGGGUGAAGCCAGAGGAA